rnacentral:rRNA from 1 species
AAGUCGUAACAAGGUUUCCGUAGGUGAACCUGCGGAAGGAUCAUUACAGAGAGGGGCCUCGCGCUCCAGGGGGCUUCGGCCCCGACUCUCAACCCAGUGACUAUAUACCUGUACGUUGCUUUGGCGGGCCUUGAGGUCAUGCUCAUGCCGGUUCGCCGACGAGUGCCCGUCAGAAGCCCCCCAAAACUCGUUUUACCAGUGUCGUCCGAGUCCUAUAUCAAUAAGCAAAACUUUCAACAGCGGAUCUCUUGGUUCUGGCAUCGAUGAAGAACGCAGCGAAAUGCGAUAAGUAAUGUGAAUUGCAGAAUUCAGUGAAUCAUCGAAUCUUUGAACGCACAUUGCGCCCCUCGGUAUUCCGGGGGGCAUGCCUGUUCGAGCGUCAUUACACCCCUCAAGCGUAGCUUGGUAAUGGGCGUCGCUUCCCGCCAAGGGGGCGUGCCUCAAAAAUCGUGGCGGUCCAGCGUGACUUUGAACGUAGUAAUUUCUUCCCGUUCUGAAAGUUUCGCGCUAUGGCCAGCCAAAAAACCAUUUUUAUUUUCCACGAUUGACCUCGGAUCAGGUAGGGAUACCCGCUGAACUUAAGCAUAUCAAUAAGCGGAGGAAAAGAAACCAACAGGGAUUGCCUCAGUAACGGCGAGUGAAGCGGCAACAGCUCAAAUUUGAAAUCUGGCUCCAAUCGGGGUCCGAGUUGUAAUUUGUAGAGGAUGUUUCGGGCGCGGUACCGGCCUAAGUUCCUUGGAACAGGGCGUCAUAGAGGGUGAGAAUCCCGUAUGUGGCCGGCCUCCAAGCCCACACGAAGCUCCUUCGACGAGUCGAGUUGUUUGGGAAUGCAGCUCAAAAUGGGUGGUAAAUUUCAUCUAAAGCUAAAUACCUGCCAGAGACCGAUAGCGCACAAGUAGAGUGAUCGAAAGAUGAAAAGCACUUUGGAAAGAGAGUUAAAAAGUACGUGAAAUUGUUGAAAGGGAAGCGCUUGCGACCAGACCUGUCCGCAGUCGUUCAGCGGUGGUUUUCCACCGUGCACUCGUCUGUGAUCAGGCCAGCAUCGGUUCCGGCGGUCGGAAAAAGGCACCAGGAACGUAGCUCCUCUCGGGGAGUGUUAUAGCCUGGAGCGACAUACGGCCAGUUGGGACCGAGGACCGCGCCUUUGGGCAAGGAUGCUGGCGUAAUGGUCGUAAGCGGCC